CCUACGGGGGGCAGCAGUGGGGAAUAUUGGACAAUGGGCGAAAGCCUGAUCCAGCCAUGCCGCGUGUGUGAAGAAGGCCUUCGGGUUGUAAAGCACUUUCAGUGGGGAAGAAAGCCUUGGGGCUAAUACCCUCGAGGAAGGACAUCACCCACAGAAGAAGCACCGGCUAACUCCGUGCCAGCAGCCGCGGUAAUACGGAGGGUGCGAGCGUUAAUCGGAAUUACUGGGCGUAAAGCGCGCGUAGGCGGUCUGAUAAGCCGGUUGUGAAAGCCCCGGGCUCAACCUGGGAACGGCAUCCGGAACUGUCAGGCUAGAGUGCAGGAGAGGAAGGUAGAAUUCCCAGUGUAGCGGUGAAAUGCGUAGAGAUCGGGAGGAAUACCAGUGGCGAAGGCGGCCUUCUGGACUGACACUGACGCUGAGGUGCGAAAGCGUGGGUAGCAAACAGGAUUAGAUACCCGAGUAUUC
rnacentral:rRNA from 1 species